UGGGGAAUCUUGCACAAUGGGGGCAACCCUGAUGCAGCGACGCCGCGUGAGCGAUGAAGCCCUUCGGGGCGUAAAGCUCUUUCGACCGGAACGAUAAUGACGGUACCGGGAGAAGAAGCUGCGGCUAACUACGUGCCAGCAGCCGCGGUAAUACGUAGGCAGCAAGCGUUGUUCGGAGUUACUGGGCGUAAAGAGUGCGUAGGCGGUUUUCUAAGUUCGGUGUGAAAUCUCCCGGCUUAACUGGGAGGGUGCGCCGAAGACUGGGAAGCUGGAGUGUGGGAAAGGCAGGCGGAAUUCCAGGUGUAGCGGUGAAAUGCGUAGAUAUCAGGAGGAACACCGGCGGUGUAGACGGCUUGCUAGACCAUAACUGACGCUGAGGCACGAAAGCGUGGGUAGCAAACA
rnacentral:rRNA from 1 species